rnacentral:rRNA from 1 species
UUGAACGCUGGCGGCAUGCUUUACACAUGCAAGUCGAACGGCAGCGGGGGCUUCGGCCUGCCGGCGAGUGGCGAACGGGUGAGUAAUGCAUCGGAACGUACCCAGUCGUGGGGGAUAACUACGCGAAAGCGUGGCUAAUACCGCAUACGCCCUGAGGGGGAAAGCGGGGGACCUUCGGGCCUCGCGCGAUUGGAGCGGCUGAUGUCGGAUUAGCUGGUUGGUGGGGUAAAAGCCCACCAAGGCGAUGAUCGAUAGCGGGUCUGAGAGGACGAUCCGUCACACUGGGACUGAGACACGGCCCAGACUCCUACGGGAGGCAGCAGUGGGGAAUUUUGGACAAUGGGGGCAACCCUGAUCCAGCAACGCCGCGUGAAUGAAGAAGGCCUUAGGGUUGUAAAGUUCUUUUGUCAGGGAAGAAAGUUUCUGUGCUAAUACCAUAGAACGAUGACGGUACCUGAAGAAUAAGCACCGGCUAACUACGU